UGGAAUGCGUAGGUAUAUGGUAGAACACCAGUGGCGAAGGCGGCUUUCUGGUCGGUAACUGACGCUGAGAUUCGAAAGCAUGGGUAGCAAACAGGAUUAGAUACCUUGGUAGUCCACGCCGUAAACGAUGAGUGUUAAGUGUUGGAGGGUCUCCGCCGUUUCAGCGCUGCAGGUAACGCAUUAAGCACUCCGCCUGGGGAGUACGACCGCAAGGUUGAAACUCAAAGGAAUUGUCGGGGGCCCGCACAAGUCGGUGGAGCAUGUGGUCUAAUUCGAAGCAACGCGAAGAACCUUACCAGGUCUUGACAUACCAUGAAAAGGUUAGAGAUAAGUCUUUCCCCUCGGGGACAUGGAUACAGGUGGUGCAUGGUUGUCGUCAGCUCGUGUCGUGAGAUGUUGGGCUAAGUCCCGCAACG
rnacentral:rRNA from 1 species